AGGGACAGCACUACUCCAGUGCGCGUGGAUUCAAAUAUCACUGAAAUUGCAACAAAAUGCCCGAACAAUCAGUAUAAUGCAUGAAGAAAAACUGAAAUGCAUCAUGAAUUGUUUGUACCUACCCGCAUAAUUCCAUUUUAUCCUAUUUCUCAUUGUUUCUUUUUCAAUUUAGACAACAGGGUGGAGGAAGAUUGUUCAAAUCCAUUCUAAGAAGUAUGAACUUAACCGUACAUCACUAAUGUACACAAUAUAACAAUUUGCUGUCUCCUAGUUAGGACUACCUCAAUAAACGUUGCUGGGGUCAAUACAGGCAGCUGAGUAUCUCCUCUCCGGGACCCAAAAGUUGGAACAGAACCAAUCUCUUGGCAUAUAGUAAUAUGUAGAUCUUUAUCAACAACAAUCCUUGCGAUUAAAACAGGCAACUGCUGGACUAGAAACAACCCCAAAAUUUGUGAUAAAAGAUUUACAAACAUGCCUAUAUGCGAAUCUCUAUCGACAACAAUCCUUGCGAUCAAAACAGGCAACUGUUGGACUACAAACAACCCCAAAAUUUGUGAUAACAGAUUUGCAAACAUGCCUAUAUGCGAAUCUCUAUCUGCUUAUUGGUUCUAGCUGAACCUCCAUGCGAUCAGAGGACCGUGAGUCUUUCUCUGCCAUUGCCUGGCUUGGACUGAGGAGGUCAAUGUCCUCCUCCUCACCACUACUCAGAACCCAAUUGCUUCUGCCGGAUAUUCUAUCCCGCCUUCUCUUCCUCUCACGAUACUCCAGGUACAUCACUGUCAAAGCACCAACAAGAAACCACAGAAUUAAAGCCCACAUGAGCCUGUGAACAUCUUCAUCAUCAUACCUCUCUCCUAAAUGCUUCAUUCCAGUUAUAAGUGCUGCAACCCUGCCAACAAUCCUCAGAGGACCGUGAGUCUUUCUCUGCCAUUGCCUGGCUUGGACUGAGGAGGUCAAUGUCCUCCUCCUCACCACUACUCAGAACCCAAUUGCUUCUGCCGGAUAUUCUAUCCCGCCUUCUCUUCCUCUCACGAUACUCCAGGUACAUCACUGUCAAAGCACCAACAAGAAACCACAGAAUUAAAGCCCACAUGAGCCUGUGAACAUCUUCAUCAUCAUACCUCUCUCCUAAAUGCUUCAUUCCCGUUAUAAGUGCUGCAACCCUGCCAACAAUGGCACCCCUGCCAACAAUGACAUGGAUGUACUCCCAAAGACGCCGUUUCGAAGAAACCUCCUCCCCUGCCGCAGGUUUCUUAGGUCGUAAGUAUGCAUUGACAGGUUGUGCAAUACAAAGAACUAUGGCCAGCAUUCCAAACUUGACGUGUAGGGAGCUAAAACUCAAACCGCGAAGUUCUGCAACAGCAAAGAGAAAGCCAAGGAAGACAAUUGCUAAUCCUGAAUACUGACAUUCCAAACUUGACAUGUAGGGAGCUAAAACUCAAACCGCGAAGUUCUGCAACAGCAAAGAGAAAGCCAAGGAAGACAAUUGCUAAUCCCGAAUACUGUAGAUAAACAUGAAUCUGAAACCAC
rnacentral:lncRNA from 1 species